rnacentral:rRNA from 1 species
AUGGCGACCGGCGCACGGGUGAGUAACGCGUAUCCAACCUGCCCUUUACUAUGGGACAGCCCGUCGAAAGGCGGAUUAAUACCGUAUGUUGUCAUGUUGAUGCAUAUUUUCAUGACCAAAGGCUUCGGCCGGUAAAGGAUGGGGAUGCGUCUGAUUAGCUUGCCGGCGGGGUAACGGCCCACCGGGGCGACGAUCAGUAGGGGUCUGAGAGGAAGGUCCCCCACAUUGGAACUGAGACACGGUCCAAACUCCUACGGAAGGCAGCAG